GACGAACGCUGGCGGCGUGCUUAACACAUGCAAGUCGAACGAGACGAUUGAAAGCUUGCUUUUAAAAGUCGAGUGGCAAACGGGUGAGUAACGCGUAGACAACCUGCCUUUGAGAUGGGGACAACAGUUCGAAAGGACUGCUAAUACCGAAUGUUGUAUAUUUUCCACAUGGAAGAUAUAUUAAAGAUGGCCUCUAUUUAUAAGCUAUCGCUCAAAGAUGGGUCUGGGUCGGAUUAGCUGGUUGGUGGGGUAACGGCCUACCAAGGCGACGAUCAGUAGCCGGUCUGAGAGGAUGAACGGCCACAUUGGGACUGAGACACGGCCCAGACUCCUACGGGAGGCAGCAGUGGGGAAUCUUCCACAAUGGACGAAAGUCUGAUGGAGCAACGCCGCGUGAGUGAAGAAGGGUUUCGGCUCGUAAAGCUCUGUUGUCGGGGACGAAUGUGCAGUAUUUGAAUAAAGUACUGCAAUGACGGUACCUGACGAGGAAGCCACGGCUAACUAUGUGCCAGCAGCCGCCGUAAAAC
rnacentral:rRNA from 1 species